rnacentral:rRNA from 1 species
GACGAACGCUGGCGGCGUGCCUAAUACAUGCAAGUAGAACGCUGAAGGAGGAGCUUGCUUCUCUGGAUGAGUUGCGAACGGGUGAGUAACGCGUAGGUAACCUGCCUGGUAGCGGGGGAUAACUAUUGGAAACGAUAGCUAAUACCGCAUAAUAGUAGAUGUUGCAUGACAUUUGCUUAAAAGGUGCAAUUGCAUCACUACCAGAUGGACCUGCGUUGUAUUAGCUAGUUGGUGGGGUAACGGCUCACCAAGGCGACGAUACAUAGCCGACCUGAGAGGGGGAUCGGCCACACUUGGACUGUGACACGGCCCAGACUCCUACGGGAGGCAGCAGUAGUGAAUCUUCGGCAAUGGACGGAAGUCUGACCGAGCGACGCCGCGGGAGUGAAGAAGGUUGUCGGAUCGUAAAGCUCUGUUGUAAGAGAAGAUCGAGUGUGAGAGUGGAAAGUUCACACUGUGACGGUAUCUUACCAGAAAGGGACGGCUAACUACGUG